GACGAACGCUGGCGGCGUGCCUAAUACAUGCAAGUCGAACGCAGUGGGGACGGGUGAGUAACACGUGGGUAACCUCCCAUCAGAGGGGAUAACACUUGGAAACAGGUGCUAAACCGAUACUGAUGGAUGGACCCGCGGUGCAGUAGCUAGUUGGUGAGGUAACGGCUCACCAAGGCUACGGUGCAUAGCCUACCGGCGAGGGUGAUCCGCCACACUGGGACGGAACCACGGCCCAGAGUCCUACGGGAGGCAGCAGUAGGGAAUCUUCGGCAAUGGACGAAAGUCUGACCGAGCAACGCCGCGUGAAUGAAGAAGGUUUUCGGAUCGUAAAGCUCUGUUGUUAGAGAAGCGGUAUCUAACCAGAAAGCCACGGCUAACUACGUGCCAGCAGCCGCGGUAAUAC
rnacentral:rRNA from 1 species